rnacentral:ncRNA from 2 species
AUUUAGAUACCAAACUCAUGAUAUAUUGCAUAAGCUUAUGAUUGGGAAACUCCGGUGAAACUCCGGGACUGUGCCGCAACUGUAAACCAUUUUAGAUUCUAAAUUUAGUGUGGCUUUUCGCUGCUUUGCCGAAGCCUAUGAACACUGAAAUAAUAGCCAUAAAGAUGAAUAGCGAUCGCUUGUUGAGUUCGUUGUCAACUUAUGGUUAAAAUCAACUUAGAAUCUGGUAAGUCAGAAUGCCAACAUCAGCAGCAUCCUAUCA